UACGUAGGCAGCGAGCGUUGUUCGGAAUUACUGGGCGUAAAGAGUGUGUAGGCGGUGCUCUAAGUUCGGUGUGAAAUCUCCUGGCUCAACUGGGAGGGUGCGCCGGAAACUGGAGUGCUUGAGCGUGGGAGAGGAAAGCGGAAUUCCUGGUGUAGCGGUGAAAUGCGUAGAUAUCAGGAAGAACACCCGUGGCUAAGGCGGCUCUCUAGUACGGUACUGACGCUGAGACGCGAAAAGCGUGGGGGAGCGAACAGG
rnacentral:rRNA from 1 species